rnacentral:rRNA from 1 species
CUGGUAGUCCACGCCGUAAACGUUGGGCGCUAGCUGUGGGCUCCAUUCCACGGAGUCCGUGACGAAGUUAACACAUUAAGCGCCCCGCCUGGGGAGUACGGCCGCAAGGCUAAAACUCAAAGGAAUUGACGGGGGCCCGCACAAGCGGCGGAGCAUGCGGAUUAAUUCGAUGCAACGCGAAGAACCUUACCAAGUCUUGACAUAUAGAGGAAAAGUGCAGAAAUGUACUCCCCGCAAGGUCUCUAUACAGGUGGUGCAUGGUUGUCGUCAGCUCGUGUCGUGAGAUGUUGGGUUAAGUCCCGCAACGAGCGCAACCCUCGUCCUAUGUUGCCAGCACGUUAUGGUGGGAACUCAUGGGAGACUGCCGGUGUCAAACCGGAGGAAGGUGGGGAUGACGUCAAAUCAUCAUGCCCCUUAUGACUUGGGCUUCACGCAUGCUACAAUGGCCGGUACAAAGGGCUGCAAUACCGUAAGGUGGAGCGAAUCCCAAAAAGCCGGUCUCAGUUCGGAUUGAGGUCUGCAACUCGACCUCAUGAAGUUGGAGUCGCUAGUAAUCGCAGAUCAGCAACGCUGCGGUGAAUACGUUCCCGGGCCUUGUACACACCGCCCGUCAAGUCACGAAAGUCGGUAACACCCGAAGCCGGUGGCCUAA